rnacentral:rRNA from 1 species
UACGAGGGGGGCAAGCGUUGUUCGGAAUUAUUGGGCGUAAAGGGCGCGUAGGCGGUUUGACAAGUCUGAUGUGAAAUCUCUGGGCUUAACCCAGAGGCUGCUUCCGAAACUGCUGUGCUUGAGUGUGGGAGAGGCGCGUGGAAUUGCAGGUGUAGCGGUGAAAUGCGUAGAUAUCUGCAGGAACACCCGUGGCGAAAGCGGCGCGCUGGACCACUACUGACGCUGAGGAACGAAAGCUAGGGGAGCAAACAGG